CUGACAAAGUUGACUUGCAUGUCUCCAAAUCAGUCAACAACUUUGGGAUAUCUGCCCAUCGUGAAUCAUUUCUAGCUUUUUCUAUCUCAAGUUCUACUCCUCUGGUCUGUUUCUUCGCCAUUCUCAAGUACUUUACAUCAAGGUAGUGAAGAGAACUACAGUAUGCAAAAACAACUUUUUUACCUGUCAACCGCCAUGUUUUUGAUUUGCCAUUAAGCCUCCCUAUCAUGAAAUGUUACUGAAAGGUUUCCGAAGAAAAGUCGAACUCGG